GCAGAAAGGCAUUGGCUCAGUGGUUGAGCAUCAAUUUUGUAUGCAGAAGGUCUCAGGUUCAAUUCCUAGCGUUUCCUGUG